rnacentral:rRNA from 1 species
CUCCUACGGGAGGCUGCAGUGAGGAAUAUUGGUCAAUGGGCGGAAGCCUGAACCAGCCAUGCCGCGUGCAGGACGACGGCCCUACGGGUUGUAAACUGCUUUUCCGGGGGAAGAAUAAGGGCGACGCGUCGCCCGAUGCCGGUACCCCGGGAAUAAGGAUCGGCUAACUCCGUGCCAGCAGCCGCGGUAAUACGGAGGAUCCGAGCGUUAUCCGGAUUUACUGGGUUUAAAGGGUGCGUAGGCGGGCCCCUCAGUCAGCGGUGAAAGUCUGCGGCUCAACCGUAGGAUUGCCGUUGAUACUGGGGGCCUUGGAUUCGGUCGAGGCGGGCGGAAUGCGUGGUGUAGCGGUGAAAUGCUUAGAUAUCACGCAGAACGCCGAUUGCGAAGGCAGCUCGCCGGGCCGAAAUCGACGCUGAGGCACGAAAGCGUGGGGAUCGAACAGGAUUAGAUACCCUGGUAGUCCACGCCGUAAACGAUGAUGGCUGGAUGUUGGCGAUACACCGUCAGCGUCUGAGGGAAACCAUUAAGCCAUCCACCUGGGGAGUACGGCCGCAAGGCUGAAACUCAAAGGAAUUGACGGGGGCCC